CGGGGACGAAAAACUAGUGUUUGGAUUUCAAAUUUUCGAUUGCUUCACAAGUUGGCCUGGACUGCACCUAGGCCUCUAGUUCCAAGGACCGGAACUAAAGUGAGCCUUGGCCUAGUAAUUCAACCUGGGCUUGAACCAAGGCAAGUCCACAAGGUUCGCAGGUUGAUCAUAUUGGCCCUUAGUGUUACGAUUAUAUUCCUAAUUUAUAAAUUAUUUUAAUAUUUUUUAAAAUUAAGACUGAUAAUUUUUGACACGAUC
rnacentral:lncRNA from 1 species